rnacentral:lncRNA from 1 species
AUGAACUCAAACACUUUCCUAGUACAUAAUAAGAACUCCAUGAAUGUUAGCUAUUAUUAUCUUUGCUCCAGGUUGCCAUGGAAUGAAGAAACUAUGGCGGGGAUUGAGGCCUAUCAGCAUCCCCUUGGACACUCCACAUCCCAUGAACCACAUCCACAAGCGACGGUCUUUGGUGUGCCACUUCCUGUUGAAGCUGCCUGUCUACCAGAAUUAGCCUUUCCAUAGGUAAGGCCCUGUCGGGGAAGGUGACGGGGAGCUGUCCAACCAAGACUCCUUAGGAGUCAUUCUCUCUAAUCGACAGCAACGAAAACAAAGGUGAUAUUGCCUCAUCAUCUUUCUUAAAGGUAGGUGUUUAACAUUUUUUAAAAACCAUGGAACUGGGCUGGGCUCGGUGGCUCAUGCCUAUAAUCCCAGCACAUUGGGAGAACAAGGAGGGCAGAUCGCUUGAGCCCAGGAGUUUGAGACUAGCCUGGGCAACAUGGCUAAACCCUAUUUCUACAAAUUAAGAAAAAAAAAUUAGCCAGGAAGCGCAUGCCUGUUGGCCCAGCUACUCAGGAGGCUGAGAUGGGAGGAGGGCUUGAGCCAGGAGUCCGAGGCUGCAGUGGGCCACAGUCGCACCACUGAGCUCCAACCUAGGUGACAGAGCAAGACCCUAUCUCAAAACAAAAUACACAAAACAAAACAAAACAAAACAAAACAUGGAACUAGACAAGCUCUUGCCUAAUAUCUACUUAGGAUCUCUCAGGUUUCUCCUAUUAAAAAAUACAAAUAAACCAAAAGCCACUAGACUUGAGCAAAGACAAGGAAGCAUGUGUCUAGCACAUGGCCAGCAUGUGUGGGCAUAACCAUAGUUAGAUAUUAAAACCCAAAGGCUGGUGGAAACGCUCAGCAGGCCAGUCCGUGCCCUCCCUUAUCCAAGUGAGUGUGCCUUUGAUCCCAGUGAGCCUCAGAAGCCUGAGCAGUGUAUUAGUCAUCAUUUCUACUCUAAUUAGAAAAGAUUUCUUUGUUCCCAGCCCAAGUUCAAUCAGCAUUUCAGUUAAACAGGUAAAAAAAAAAAAAAUUGAGUUGGAAAAAUCUUCGAGUCAUUUGGCCCAAAAGG